AGUGGCGAACGGGUGAGUAAUGCGUCGGAACGUACCGAGUAAUGGGGGAUAACGCAGCGAAAGCUGUGCUAAUACCGCAUACGCCCUGAGGGGGAAAGCAGGGGAUCGCAAGACCUUGCGUUAUUCGAGCGGCCGACGUCUGAUUAGCUAGUUGGUGGGGUAAAGGCCUACCAAGGCGACGAUCAGUAGCGGGUCUGAGAGGAUGAUCCGCCACACUGGAACUGAGACACGGUCCAGACUCCUACGGGAGGCAGCAGUGGGGAAUUUUGGACAAUGGGGGAAACCCUGAUCCAGCCAUUCCGCGUGAGUGAAGAAGGCCUUCGGGUUGUAAAGCUCUUUCAGCUGGAAAGAAACGGUCUGCUCUAACAUAGCGGGCUAAUGACGGUACCAGCAGAAGAAGCACCGGCUAACUACGUGCCAGCAGCCGCGGUAAUACGUAGGGUGCGAGCGUUAAUCGGAAUUACUGGGCGUAAAGCGUGCGCAGGCGGAUUGUUAAGCAAGAUGUGAAAUCCCCGGGCUUAACCUGGGAAUGGCAUUUUGAACUGGCAGUCUAGAGUGUGUCAGAGGGGGUGGAAUUCCACGUGUAGCAGUGAAAUGCGUAGAUAUGUGGAGGAACACCAAUGGCGAAGGCAGCCCCCUGGGAUAACACUGACGCUCAUGUACGAAAGCGUGGGUAGCAAACAGGAUUAGAUACCCUGGUAGUCCACGCCCUAAACGAUGUCAACUGGUUGUUGGGGGAGUGAAAUCCCUUAGUAACGAAGCUAACGCGUGAAGUUGACCGCCUGGGGAGUACGGUCGCAAGAUUAAAACUCAAAGGAAUUGACGGGGACCCGCACAAGCGGUGGAUGAUGUGGAUUAAUUCGAUGCAACGCG
rnacentral:rRNA from 1 species